AUUGAACGCUGGCGGCAGGCCUAACACAUGCAAGUAGAGCGAGGGGCGGACGGAGUAGUAAUUGCUGGAAAAAUGCGUGAUGGAGGGGGAUAACGACUGGAAACGGUAGCUAAUACCGAAUACAAUAAGCUGUGCCGACAUGGGAUUAGCUUGUUGGUGGGGUAGCGGCAGACAAAGGGGAAGAUCCCUAGCGUGUAUGAGAGGAUGACCAGCCACACUGGAACUGAGACACGGCCCAGACUCCUACGGGAGGCAGCAGUGGGGAAUCUUGCACAAUGGUCGAAAGCCUGAUGCAGCCACGCCGCGUGUAUGAAGAAGGCCUUCGGGUUGUAAAGUACUUUCAGCGGUGAGGCGUUACUCACAGAAGAAGCACCGGCUAACUCCGUGCCAGCAGCCGCGGUAAUAC
rnacentral:rRNA from 1 species